GUUUCCCUGCCUUGCACGUGUCCGGGGCGCCAUUGCUCCGGGACCCAAUGCUUCGGAAACGGGAGUCCGAAUACGGGGUGGUGAGACGGCCUGCGGCACCCGCCGUUCAAGUCGACCUGAAACCCCGGGUAGGGCCCCCACCUGUAAUAACAGGGUUCCGGACAAAAACUGCCCCGAACGGCAAGGUGGGGAAUAU
rnacentral:other from 1 species